GAAGGCAGAGGUCCGAGAUGUUAGCCCCUACUGGAAGACCUUCUAUGGGAAAAUAGAACUCUUUGUCAUGGAUGAGGAGGUUGUGCCAGAAACUCCAAUCAUGGCUACUAAUACACCCCUGAGAACAGAGCCAAUAGAAACGAAUGAUUUAGCUAUAGUUCUGGUCCAUCCUACUGUGAAGGAGAACCAAUUUGAGACCUCAAAGACAGACCUAACAUCACCAAACAGCAGUAAAAGACCACAGCAAAACAACCUGCUACUUCUCUCUUCUACAGGAAUUGAUGAGGAACACACGAAGGCAAAGAAAGGAAAGGCCGUGUAUAAAGCUCCAAUGGUUAAAAAACAGAAGCGAGUCUGCCCGUAUGAGAAGAAGACCUCACCGGAUCUCUCAAUGGAUGAAAAACAACUCCUAGAUGCCCCAGUGUUGUCAUGGGAAGGGGCUAAUGCAUGGGCCUUGGUGGCUGGCCCUAAUAAGCCACCCGAUCAAAGAUGAAACUACUAAGCUGGAACUGUCAGGGGUUGGGUACACCCUUGACAGUUCAGCACCUUAGAGCCCUAGUGGCUCAGGAAAGGCCCAACAUGGUUUUCCUCAUGGAAACCAAGAAUAAAUCAUAUGUUAUCAAUAGAGUGCAGAGAAGGAUUCAGCUCCCACACUCUCUGAUUAUCGAACCAGUUGGUAUUGCGGGAGGUCUAGCCCUACUGUGGGAUGAGGAAGUGAAAGUGGACGUGCACAGCAGCUCAAACGAGGCCAUUCAUGUCAAAUGUCAAGAUGUAAUUGGUGGCUACUCCAUGUGGAUAUCCUUUCUACACGCAUCAACUAAUUUCCAAGAGAGAUUACGGCUUUGGAACUCCUUGCAAGAUAGCAACUAUAAUAACACAUUUCCAUGGUUGUGCAUAGGGGACUUUAAUGAAGUGCUUUACCAUUGGGAGAAGGUAGGAAGGCGAGAGGCAGACCGCUAUAGAAUGGCAGCUUUCCGAAGCUUCUUAGACGCAUGCUCGCUGAUGGAUAUUGAAAGUAAGGGUUGCUCCUUCACCUGGUCAAACAAAAGGGAAGGUAAUGAACUAGUAAAAAAGAGACUAGACAGAGCAAUAUGCAAUAUGGAAUGGAGAACUAUUUACCCUAAUGCGGAGGCCUUUGCUUUCCCGGCAAUAGGGUCCGACCACAGUCCUAUCCUUUUAUCCUUAAAUCCACCAGAGUUGCGAAGGAAGAAACCUUUUCGCUUCGAGACAUACUGGCUAGAACAUCCAGAAUGUGAGAAUGUGGUCAAGCAAGCUUGGAAUGGAAGUCACAUAGAUACACCCACUAUGGCAGGCAAAACAAGGCGGGUGGCUGCUGAAUUAAGUAAAUGGAGUAGGAGGAUCUUCCAGAAUGCUCAAAAACAGAUUCAUCCACUCAGGUGCAGGCUCCAAACUUUGAUGAAC
rnacentral:lncRNA from 1 species